rnacentral:rRNA from 1 species
UGGCGGCGUGCCUAACACGUGCAAGUCGAACGAGAAAGUGGAGCAAUCCAUGACUAAAGUGGCGACCGGGUGAGUAACACGUGACUAACUUACCUCCGAGUGCGGAAUAACUCCGGGAAACCGGGGCUAAUACCGCAUAACAUCGCAAGAUCAAAGCAGCAAUGCGCUUGGAGAGGGGGUCGCGGCUGAUUAGCUCGUUGGCGGGGUAACGGCCCACCAAGGCGAAGAUCGGUAUCCGGCCUGAGAGGGCGCACGAACACACUGGAACUGAAACACGGUCCAGACUCCUACGGGAGGCAGCAGUGGGGAAUUUUGCGCAAUGGGGGAAACCCUGACGCAGCAACGCCGCGUGGAGGAUGAAGCCCUUUGGGGCGUAAACUCCUUUCGACUCGGACGAUAAUGACGGUACGAGUGGAAGAAGCACCGGCUAACUCUGUGCCAGCAGCCGCGGUAAUACAGAGGGUGCGAGCGUUGUUCGGAAUUAUUGGGCGUAUAGGGCGCGUACGCGGUGCGGUAAGUCACCUGUGAAAUCUCCUGACUUAACUGGGA